rnacentral:rRNA from 1 species
GAUGAACGCUAGCGGCAGGCUUAAUACAUGCAAGUCGAACGGUAACAGGUCUUCGGACGCUGACGAGUGGCGCACGGGUGAGGAACACGUACACAAUCUACCUUAUACUGGAGAAUAGCCCCGGGAAACUGGGAUUAAUACUCCAUAGUCUUUAAUGAUCACAUGAGAAAUAAAGUAAAGCUUCGGCGGUAUAAGAUGAGUGUGCGUCCCAUUAGAUUGUUGGUGAGGUAACGGCUCACCAAGUCGACGAUGGGUAGCUGGCGUGAGAGCGCGACCAGCCACACUGGCACUGAGACACGGGCCAGACUCCUACGGGAGGCAGCAGUAGGGAAUAUUGGUCAAUGGACGAAAGUCUGAACCAGCCAUGCCGCGUGGAGGAUGACUGCCCUCUGGGUUGUAAACUCCUUUUAUAUGGGAAGAUAAUGACGGUACCAUCAGAAGAAGCCCCGGCUAACUCCGUGCCAGCAGCCGCGGUAAUGUC